rnacentral:lncRNA from 1 species
AUGGAGGCGUUCAAGGAUAGCAAUUACACCACAAAAUGUAAGGCUUUGACAAAUCCAUACCCUCAACAAGGAAUUCCAGUUCUGUACAGGGAAUUCUGGCUACAAAACUCCAAAACUUCACCCUCAGUUCACACAAAACAUCCAGUUUGGAACUACAGAAGUGAAGCAAACCAGGAACAAGGCAGGGUUUGGGGUACCAGACCGGUUUGCUCUUGGGAAGCACCAUCCAUGUGGCUGUUCCAGGCUGGGCAGGACAAGUCCUUUAACAUUUUUUGCUGCCUGUUUGGAGCCCCUGAGGAGAGCAAUCCCCUGGGAGCUCUGAGGUUUGGGGAUUUUCACAGCCAAGCCUGUCCAGGGAGGGUUGGGACUGAGGGAGAUCAGCCAAUCCCUGCACUGGGGCUGAUCACAGAUCUGGGGGCUCUCCCGAGGUGGGAAGGACAGAAUUUCCCUUCCUUUUCCUUGGCUGUGCUGCUCCAAGGGGAUUGGAACACUGGGAGCAGCCCCCAACAGCCAGGGCAGCAGAGAGAAAGGGCAGGGCCAGCUGUGUGCACAGGGAAAUGGAAUAAUGCCUCUUCCAGGGAAUCUGAGGCACCACUGGGAAUGGCAGGAAGGAGGAAAGCCGGGAUGAACCUCCAGAGGUGAAGCACAUUUCCAGCAUGGCUGUGACCAAGGCUGCCAGCCAGCCCCAUGCCAGGGCUGCUGCUCCUCCAGGCUCCAUCUCCCGCAUCCCAGCUGCCCUCUGAAGUGCUGGAGUGUCCCAGAGUGCUUUAGCAGAGCUGUUUGGCUCUUUUGGCACAAGGGAAAUAGGAGAGGUGUUUGCUGUGUGGGGAGGGACAAACACAGCUACACAAAACCAGCAGCUGGGCACAGGGAGCCAAUGCAGAGCUCCAGGGAUGGCCCCGGGCUUGGAAUGGCCCCUGCUCAGCCUUCCUGCUUCCCUGCGUGCUCAGGGACAGGCACACAGCACCACGGGAUCCCCCAGACUGGGAAACAUCACCAGGAGGGGAUUUGGUACCUCACUGCCCACACAAAUGCCAGAACUGCCCAGAGCAGGGCACAGCUGGGCUGUGAGUGUGGCACUGCACAAAGCCUCCACUCCAAGAGGUGAGAGAUUUACUCAAGUUACACUGGAAUAAAGAGUCCAGGAGUUGAUUAAAGGAUUUCCUC